UACAGAGGGUGCGAGCGUUAAUCGGAAUUACUGGGCGUAAAGCGUGCGCAGACGGUUGCGUAAGUCAGAUGUGAAAGCCCCGGGCUCAACCUGGGAAUUGCAUUUGAGACUGCGUAGCUAGGGUGCGGAAGAGGGAAGCGGAAUUUCCGGUGUAGCGGUGAAAUGCGUAGAUAUCGGAAGGAACACCAGUGGCGAAAGCGGCUUCCUGGUCCAGCACCGGACGUCAGGCACGAAAGCGUGGGGAGCAAACAGG
rnacentral:rRNA from 1 species